rnacentral:rRNA from 1 species
GAGUUUGAUCAUGGCUCAGGAUGAACGCUAGCGACAGGCUUAACACAUGCAAGUCGAGGGGCAGCGGGGGCGUAGCAAUAUGCCUGCCGGCGACCGGCGCACGGGUGAGUAACACGUAUGUAACCUGCCCUAUGCAGGGGGAUAACCCGGAGAAAUCCGGCCUAAUACCGCGUAACACCUUUUGGGAGCAUUCCCGGGAGGUUAAAGGAGAGAUCCGGCAUAGGAUGGACAUGCGUCGCAUUAGGUAGACGGCGGGGUAACGGCCCACCGUGCCGACGAUGCGUAGGGGUUCUGAGAGGAAGGCCCCCACACUGGUACUGAGACACGGACCAGACUCCUACGGGAGGCAGCAGUGAGGAAUAUUGGUCAAUGGCCGAGAGGCUGAACCAGCCAAGUCGCGUGAGGGAAGAAUGUCCUAAGGAUUGUAAACCUCUUUUGUCGGGGAGCAAAAAGGCUCUGCGGAGUCGUAUUGAGAGUACCCGAAGAAAAAGCAUCGGCUAACUCCGUGCCAGCAGCCGCGGUAAUACGGAGGAUGCGAGCGUUAUCCGGAUUUAUUGGGUUUAAAGGGUGCGCAGGCGGCGUGUCAAGCAAGCGGUAAAAUAGCGGGGCUCAACCCCGUCGAGCCGUUUGAACUGGCGCGCUUGAGUUCAGGCGAGGUAGGCGGAAUUCGUGGUGUAGCGGUGAAAUGCAUAGAUAUCACGAAGAACUCCGAUUGCGAAGGCAGCUUACCAGUCUGCGACUGACGCUCAGGCACGAAAGUGUGGGUAUCGAACAGGAUUAGAUACCCUGGUAGUCCACACAGUAAACGAUGAGCGCUAAGUGUCCGGGUCGCAUGAGACUUGGGUGCCGAGCGAAAGCGUUAAGCGCUCCACCUGGGGAGUACGCCGGCAACGGUGAAACUCAAAGGAAUUGACGGGGGCCCGCACAAGCGGAGGAACAUGUGGUUUAAUUCGAUGAUACGCGAGGAACCUUACCCGGGCUCAAACGACUCAGGAAUAUAUUGGAAACGAUGUAGCCAGCAAUGGUCUGAGUCGAGGUGCUGCAUGGUUGUCGUCAGCUCGUGCCGUGAGGUGUCGGCUUAAGUGCCAUAACGAGCGCAACCCCUACCGCCAGUUGCCAACGGGUAAAGCCGGGAACUCUGGCGGGACUGCCGGCGCAAGCUGCGAGGAAGGCGGGGAUGACGUCAAAUCAGCACGGCCCUUACGUCCGGGGCGACACACGUGUUACAAUGGCAGGUACAGCGGGAAGCCACCUGGUGACAGGGAGCGGAACCCGAAAGCCUGUCUCAGUUCGGAUUGGAGUCUGCAACUCGACUCCAUGAAGCUGGAUUCGCUAGUAAUCGCGCAUCAGCCAUGGCGCGGUGAAUACGUUCCCGGGCCUUGUACACACCGCCCGUCAAGCCAUGGGAGCCGGGGGUGCCUGAAGUACGUGACCGCGAGGAGCGUCCUAGGGCAAAACUGGUGACUGGGGCUAAGUCGUAACAAGGUAUCC